UACGUAGGUCCCGAGCGUUGUCCGGAUUUAUUGGGCGUAAAGCGAGCGCAGGUGGUCUAUUAAGUCUGGUGUAAAAGGCAGUGGCUCAACCAUUGUAUGCAUUGGAAACUGGUAGACUUGAGUGCAGGAGAGGAGAGUGGAAUUCCAUGUGUAGCGGUGAAAUGCGUAGAUAUAUGGAGGAACACCGGUGGCGAAAGCGGCUCUCUGGCCUGUAACUGACACUGAGGCUCGAAAGCGUGGGGAGCAAACAGG
rnacentral:rRNA from 1 species